GUCCUGUCAGGUGUUAUAACUCAGGUCAGUUGGUUAGAGCAUCGUGCUGAUAAUGUCAAGGUUGCAGGUUCAAUCCCUGUAUGGGACA